AUCCAGCUGACGAGUCCCACAUAGGACGAAACACAAGUAUUGUAU
rnacentral:hammerhead_ribozyme from 1 species